rnacentral:lncRNA from 1 species
CUAUGUGUGUCAACUUUCCUGAGUAGUUGCAUUGUGUUCUGGUGGAUGAAAAAACCCAUAAUGUAUUUGUCCUUUUACUGUUGAUGAAAAUCUAGGUAGUAUCACCCAUCUGGGUGGUCUCAUCUUCACCCAUCUAUAGGAUCAAAUUUAUUAAUUAAAUUAUAUAGAGCUUCUCUAGGUAUACUUUCAUAGUUUUGUCUCUAGAUCUUUGAAAAUUAAAAUGGAAAGAGGUAUCUAAAAUCUCCCACUGUAUCGUAUCACAGAGGUGAAGGAGUCGGCCCAAGACCACACUAUCCAGAGAGGUCAGGAGGCGUUUGGACUCAGCCACCCGGCCCCGGGCAGCCGAGGUUAACGGAACCCAGCGCCCGAGGCUGUUGUGAGGAUGAAACAUGAUCAUGGAAUCUGAAAACUCAGCCUGACGUGGAAAACAUGAUUGCCUGUUAAGCACCGGCUGCUCAUUUUCAUCUUCUGGGUGAAAUGCUCAAAGGGACUGGAUGAAUACUGAUUACUCAUCAAGGAUGUUGGCGAGCCCAGCCCGGAACACAGCGUCCUUGUCCCUUGAUUAAGCAGCAGACACGCUCAGACAGUGGCCCUGCAGGAGGUGGUCGAUGAAUUCAUCUCUUGGCCAUUCAGAGAACCCAACAGCCACGGACUUGGGCAGAGAUGGGUCAAUGGGAGGUCAUGCCGGGUGGUCCCCUCCAGAGGCCACCCCCAAAGGGAAAUAAUGACAGCAUCCUCCCCCCAGGAGGUGCCCCAGACAAGGCUGAUGAAAGGGGUGGCUCGGUGGCUUCCUGUGGAAAGCCCGCUCUGGGACAGACCCCUGUGUGAGAAUGAUCCUGCUUGCUGUUAUCACUCCUUGAUCAAAACCUUCAGUGGCUUCUCACAAGCAGAAGACAGUCAAAACGCCUCUCACAGAGCCCUCCGUGAUUUGACCACAGAUCUUCCCGCUCACGUUUUUGCUCACCGUGUUCUGCUCACACCUGCCUAAUUUCUGGCCCUGGGACGCACCAUGGUCUGUCCUUCCUCAAGCCUCUCCUUCCGCCUGGGUGGAUCUCUGGGUCCACCCCGGCACCAGCUCUGAUGGCCGACUCCUAGCCGGGGCUGCCUGGUUCACUUUCGGACCCUAACACGUGGAGUAGCACCUGCCCAGAGGAGGCACUGGAGAGACAUUCACUCAGGCUACUUCCCAGCGCCUAGAGCAAGGCCUGGUACAUACUAGGUGCUCAGCAAAUAUGGAAGGGAGAGGGGAAAACAGAAGGGAGGAAACGGUGGAGAGAAAUUAUCAUGCAGCAACUUCAGAGACAGCAAGGGGAGUGGAACAGAGAAAGGGGUGCCUUCCAACAGGCACCUGGGACCCCCUUUGGGAUGGGCCCCCUGUACACGCCCAUACCACUCUCCAAGGCUGAAAGCAUCUCGUCCUCCACUGCCAAAGCAUUCCAGGAACGGGGCUGCACCCAGAGCAGCAGGAGGUACCAUCCCCUCUCCUACCCUCACGUCCAGCUCUUCUCCCUGCUCCAUGAUCCACAGUGAGGGCCUCCCUCGCUUCAAGAUAGUCCAUGACUAAGGACCUGUGGGACCAUCACAUUUCUUCAUCUCUUCAAUACAUCUUUUUGAAGGCCUGUGAUGCCCCAUGGAUGGGGCGAGGCUCCGGAUCAAUGAAGGCAGGAAAGUCACACGUGGCCCCACCUGUGGCAAGCCCCCAGCCAGUGGAGCUGGGAACAUACUGGACAGAUGAGAGUCAGCCCAUGUGUUCAGGAAGCCAAUCUGAUUUUUGUCAUCCACUGGCCCUUUAAACUUGUCCACUGGGAAGGAGCCUUGUCCCUGACCAGAUGGGAGCUCAGGCGAUGACCAUGACUUUGCUGGUCGCUUUCUAGCAGUAGACAGUCCUGUGGUCAGUGUGAGUCACAGACGGCCUCAGUCUAGCAGUGGAAAAAGUCCUGUCCUGAGUAAGAAUCAAAACUUGCUCCUUGAUUCAGCACAAUUUGCUGCACGACGGGUGCCUGCGGUAAGCUGACUGCUUGCAGGGAAGUGGCCUGGACCUCCUCUCUUUGCCCACAGGCUUUCGUCCAUCACUCCGACACAGCCUCCUCACUCGGGCUCAGGAGCCAGGCAGGGUCGGGAGGGAGACGAGGUGGACAGCUGCUCCCCCCCAGUCCCGUGUGUGACAGCUCUGAACUGCCUGGGACGCAGCAGAGCCUCCUCCGAUGGACUGACGGCUCUGUGGGGAUGAGCAGGGCCUCUCCUACCUGGCCGCACCCCUGUGGGCCAUUGUCCCGGAGAGGAGCCCCUCUCUUUAAGGGGCUCAGUUGCCCAGGAUGCAUGCAGCAUUGACCGUCUCUUGGAGGAGUUUCAGCUUUUCAGAAGCAGCCGCAGUUCUUCAACCCAGGCCCCUUUUGCCCUCAGGCAUGAGUCCCUUGAGCCCUCCAAAGGCCGGGCGCGGACAGAGCUGUCUGCAUGUUCCCACAAAACCCUCGCCAGUACCAGCCCAAUGGCCAGCAUGCAGCAGGUGCUCAAUAAAUAAACAUCACAUUACUAGAGAGGUACAUAAAUAAACAGCAACUCUUGUGUUUACAGCCAAUGGGCAUGAAAGAGAAAGACUGGGGUCUAGAGAGAAGGGAGGGGGAACACAGCAGGAGAGCUACUUUCGUUUAAGGUGACAUCGUUUCGGAUGUUUGCUAGUUCAGCGGCCAUGAAGGAACGUUCCAGGGCUUGACAACUUCUAAAUUUCUAUGACUCAGUUUCUGGAUUUGAAAAAACUUGCCAAAUUUCGUACACCGCUUGAUGACUCUGGGAGUUUAAGACCCCCUUUCUUAAAGUGAGGAAGAAAAUGGAAAAGGAUUAAAGUUCAGAAGAGUUGAGGCUUAGGUGAGGCAGCUCUUUGUACAUAGGUGUUUAUGUUUCUCUAUGGAAAUGGGCAUUUCUAUUAAGCAAGACUAUGGAUUUCCUUAAAGGAUAUCUUAAUGGUUUUUAAAAGGCUGGUUUAUUGGAAAAAGCAGAAUUGAGUGGAAAAGCAUGCUCUUCUCCCAGAUGCAGUUGGUUAGACACUUGAAGCUCAAUUCUAUAAAAUUGAGCCGAGCAGUGCCAUUUGGAUGCUGCAGCCUUAAGGUCAAGUGCACCAGAGAAAAUGUGUCAGCCUCACAAACCCAAAUAAAAAUGGUAUAAGGCAUGGCUGCCAUUGUCCAGUCUACCAACAGGCUCUCAGAGAGUCAGCAUUUGAGAAGCUCCAGCAACAAUAUUCGAAUUCUGUGCUUCUCCUCUUUGUCCAUAGUGAGCACUUGCUGAGAGCCAAGCAUUCUGCAUACAUUAUCUCAUCCUCAAAAAAUUAUAUUAGCUAGUAUUAUCAUUAUCUUUGUUUUGUAGGUAAGGAAACCGAACAAAGGGAUUCUCUGUAAUUAACCCAAGGUCACACUGCUGAUGAGUGGUGAAGCAGGGUUUAAUCCAAAUUUGACUGAUUACUUAGCCUGGUGCCAGGCUGCCUCUGGCCAGAAGAACUCUUUGCACAUCUAUGUCCCUGUGAUGCCCAGAGCCUUGUCAAUGUAUCCAACUCCUUCUUCCCAUAGGGUGAGUUCUCUCUUGCCAGACUCCUCACUUCCUGCCAACAAACCAUGAGAUAGGCUUGGAUAAAUCUGAUCUGCAUGGAAAGGAAGGAUGUAGUGCCAUCAACACUAAGAGCCCAGGCAACUGAAUCAAUAAGAGAGUUAAAUCUAUGAGUGGUUGAUCACAAUCUCAUGUCCUAAUUGAGAAAUCAGCAAUGUACAGAAAAAGACCCUGCAUACCACAGGACAAAAAUUAUAACUUAUCUGGAGAUUAACAUACAAAGUACAGGUGAACUUUAUGGAGAAAAUUUCAAAACUCAAAGAGCAGAGUACAUAAAUAAGAGAAGUGAUGGGUCGUGUAGGAAAGGAAGAGUUAAAUGUUAUAAGGAUGUCAAUCUCCCUGUAUGUUUCAAUAAAUUUAAUACAAAUGAAAAAGCAGGAUUUGGGGUGAGAAUGAGAUGAAGCAAAUUGAGUCUAAAAUGUACAUGAAAAAACAAUAGCUAA